GACGAACGCUGGCGGCGUGCUUAACACAUGCAAGUCGAACGGAAAGGCCUCUUUCGGGGGGUACUCGAGUGGCGAACGGGUGAGUAACACGUGAGUAACCUGCCCUUGACUUUGGGAUAACUUCAGGCAACUGGGGCUAAUACCGGAUAGGAGAUCCUGCUGCAUGGUGGGGGUUGGAAAGUUUCGGCGGUUGGGGGUGGCCUCGAGGCUUAUCAGCGUGUUGGUGGGGUAGUGGCUUACCAAGGCGUUGACGGGUAGCCGGCCAGAGAGGGUGACCGGCCACAUUGGGACUGAGAUACGGCCCAGACGCCUACGGGAGGCAGCAGUGGGGAAUAGUGCACAAGGGGUGGAAGCCUGAUGCAGCAACGCCGUGUGCGGGAGGACGGCCUUCGGGUUGAAAACCGCUUUCGCUCAUGACGAAGCUUUGUGUGACGGUAGUGGGUAAAGAAGCACCGGCUAACUACGUG
rnacentral:rRNA from 1 species